rnacentral:lncRNA from 1 species
GGAAUCUCCAGUCUCUCCAUUGUCAUCUCUUUACAUAAUUUAAAAUAAGUAAAGAUGAAUUCUUACCGAGGGAAUAUCGAUCAAUGGCAUAUGGACUCUUCUCGAAACAAGACAUUCUUCGUAUGAUUUCACUUCUUCUCCCUUUUCUCACUUCUAAGGUAAUCGAUAUCUCCCUACUUUUCUAGGGUAUCAUUUUAUUUUUUCAACGAUUCCUUUUUCUUCUCUUUUUUCUCUUUCUUUUCUGGUUUUUUUAUAACUUUUUUUUAUUCGGGUAUCCAUGAGAUCCGAAGUAUGCACGGGUUUACGCGACAUCCCUCAUAUCACUUCUACCUAUAGCCUUUUCCACAGUUUCUUUUAAAGGCUGAAGGGAAGAGAGAAAGAAGGCAUCGUACUUUGAAGAAGUGCAGUGUCUUGUGUGGUUCGAAGAAGAAGUCUAAUCCAAUGUAUUCCAACUCCCAAGGUAAGAGAAUAAGUCCAAUUAAGUCCUGAUAAAAGUAGAGACAACGUUAGAUCAACUGGAUAUCCGAUGAAUAAGGGCUUUCAAGAUUGUUGAUACAGCUCAUAGUCAUUCCAAACUUCGGUUCUGAGAUCAAGCAUAAUCAAGAGUCAUAAGAGUGUUAAUCCAAAUCAGAGAAACUGUUAGACUGAGUUCAUAGUUCCCAACAAAAAUUUUGACUCAAUAAAACAAAUUCUUUUUGGACUGACUCGAUAAAACUCCAAAAGAAUAAACAAUGUGAGUAACUACCUCCCCCAGACUUAAACAACACUGUCCCCAGUGUUACCAAGUCUAAGAUUGGCGAACAAAAGAAAAUAAAACAAAAAUAAAUGCAAAAGAAAUAGAAAAAACUCACAAGUGGGUUGCCUCCCACUUAGCGCUUGUUUUCAGUCAUUAGCUUGACUUUGUCGGGGUUCAUGCAUCCGGUUGGUCAGAAAGUGGCACUAAAUGCCUCCGAGAAUAGUGUCUCAUCAUCCAAGGUGGUUUAUAAGCAUUAGGUGUAGGAGAUCGACCAAGUACACGAGGAACAGCAGCAGGGCAGAGUCUAGGUAUGGGUGGGACACCUCUUCUACCUGCAACAUCAUCAAAAGAACCAACAAGCGCUCUACGAUAGUCUCGUGGCUUGGUUAACUGCAAAACAGUCUUUGUACCUUUGAAAGUCUUAUUGAUCAUAUGAGAAGAUUUGGGUAAAGAAGUUGCGUACCUUUGCUUUUCUCGAGGUCUCUGGAGUAUGGGUGGUGAAGCUUUCCGAUUCAGAACAGGGCUCAAGCUUGCAGUAGUAAGAUCAACCCGAAAACCAUCCAUUUUUGGCAAGUUCGGACUGUCGUGGCGAGGGGUGUCGAUCGACACUGAGCUUGAUGUUUGUGUUUCAGCACUUUUUCUGCAAUUUGUCUCAGCGAUCCUCAUCUCUAGCACAAAAACAUCAUCUUCCAAUAACUUAGCAGUAGCUAGACCCUCGCUCUGGUCCCUAGCAGUAAUAUCUUCUGAAUACUCUAUGACUGCCACGUCAUCCAUGGCUUCCUCUAGAGAAAAAGUCUGGCCAUCAAUAGUAGGUGCUCUCCUUAACUUGUCCAUGUCAAAGUUCAUAACCAAAUCACCCACAUGCAGUCCAAUCGUUCCUUUCUGAACAUCUAUAAGAGCACCAGCGGUAGCCAAGAAAGAUCUCCCAAGGAUAAGAGGAUCCUGAGGUUCUUCGCUAUACUUCAAAACCACAAAGUCUGUAGGAAUUAUGCAUUCACCAAUCCUUAUUAGAACAUCCUCUAAAAGACCUUCGGGAAUUCUUUUAGACCUAUCAGCUAGGAUAAGAGAGAUCCUAGUAGGCUUGAAAUCUGUCAACCCAAGUCUCACAGCAACAGAGUAUGGUAUCAAGUUGAUACCUGAGCCAAGAUCACAAAGAGAGUGAGGAAAUCUCUCUGUGAAGAUAGAGCAGUCUAGCACGAAACUUCCUAGAUCAGGUAACUUCUCUGGAAUCUUGCUCUGAAUCAUGGCACUAACUUUUUCAGAAACAAACACUUUCUUCUUCUUCUUCUUCUCUUUCUUACUCUGCAGGGUCUGUUUCAAGAAGAUAGCACCCAUGUCUCUAGCCAGCAAAGCUCCUUCCUCAGGGCUCACAUCAUUUAGGACCAUCCUCUUAACACACCGCUUAAGCAUAGGUGAAUCACGAUCUGCAUGAUCUAAAUGAAUCUCAUUGAUCACCUUUUCCAUCAUUGCCUUGCAUCGAGAUUCCUCUAUCUCCUGUUUAGACUUCCUAGGCUUUGGAAAAGGAACCUUAGGCUUGUAGAUAUUUUCUGUAGAUAGUCGCAGAAGGCGGUGAAGCUGAAAUUGGUUAUGUCCGAGAACGGUGUCGAUCGACGCAAGUGUGGUGUCGGUCGACACUAGUCUUUGGUGUCGAGAGUUGUGUAUCGAUCUCGGUCGAUAUCUCUCCGUCAGAAACGUGUGGUGUCGAACGACACCCAUGGUUGGUGUCGAGCGACACCUCCUGCGGAUCGACAGAAUCUGCAUCUUCAAUCCCAUCAAGCUCAAUGACAUCUUCUACUGUCAAACCUGGUUUCAACACUGAUUUGAGCUGUUUUCCACUCCUCAAGGUCACUGCAUUGCAAGGAUGUUUAGGAUUGGCAUCGGUCUUUCCAGGGAGAAAACCUGGUUGUCGGUUCGGGUUUGCCUGAGUAAACUGAUAGUCCAACUUCUUGGUGUGGUUAAUCAAGGCUUCUAUCUUACCAUUCAAAUCAGUGUAUAGAGCAUCCAUCUUCCCAUUAAAGUCUACUGUCAUCUUCUGCUGUCCUUCUAGAAUCUGUUCAAGCAUAGACUUCAUCUCAGUUUCUGAAGAUUUCGGUGGAGUUGGUUGGUAAGAUGAGUUCCCAUAGCUCCUUGUGAAGCCAUUGCUCUUCUGAUAAUCAGGUCGUGGAGUGUAACCAGAGGAAUUCUGAUUUCCUGUGUAAGUGCUCUUCUGACCAUACCCGCUGUUGAACCGGUUUCCUUGUACGUUACUAAACUUCUGACCCUGAUACCCAGCACCAUUAACGUAGUUCACGUCUUCUUCUUCAUCCUAUUCUGGUUCAAAAGCCUCAACUUCAGCAGCAAACUUAACAUUCUUCUUAUUAACAAGAAGGUGAUGCACAGAAUCAAGUUUCGCCUUGACUUCAGCAAGUUGAAGUCCCUCCAUGUUUUCAGCUAGCUUCUUUCUCUCAAAAUCAGCAACCUUGGUACUAUUGCCGGAAGCUAAGUUCUCGAUCAGCUUGGUGGCUUGAGCUGGAGACCGUGUGUUGUAGUUACCGUUGCUAGCAGCAUCUAAAGCCAUCUGAUACCUCCAAUGCAAUCCUCUGUAGAAAAUGCCCAAAAGCUGAAAUUUGUCGUAUCCAUGGUGGGGACAAUCUCUCUGAUACCCCUUAAAGCGCACCCAAGCAGCCUUGAAUGUCUCAGAGAUUUCCUUGAGAGAAAGUAGAAAUCUUGUUCCUCAGAUCCUCGGACCUUGCAUCAUCAUAAAAGUUGUUCAAGAACGCAACUUUCACAUCCUACCAGCACGUAAGAGAUGCAGGCUUCAACUCCUUGAGCCAUGAUAGUGCUUCUCCAGCUAAAGAGUGCUGGAAAAGCUUGCAGAGCAGGAAAUCCGAAGAUACACCAUCAGCCUUGAUGCUAGAUACUAGAUCUUCAAACUUCUCAAUAUGGUCCAUCGGGUGCUCAUGAGUGUGCCCAUGGAAAGGGUGUUGUCCUACAAGAGUGUAGUAACCAGGCUUCAACUCAAAGUUGUUUCUUUGAAAUGCAGGAGGACGUAUAGCAGAGCGGUUAGAAUAGAACAGAGCAGACAUGUUGUAUUCUCCAAGUGUACGGUUCUCAUCUUCUACUUCAGCAUUCAACGCCAACUCUGCAUUGUCAGCUACGGCGUGGUGUCGAUCCACACCAACCAGGUGUCGCUCGACACAAACGGCGACUGGUUCAGGAAUUACAGUCCCCGUCAGCAUUCAGCUUCUGCCCUUGUGCAUUCCUCACAUGGCCAUCUCCAUCUCUGAGAGUACCCUCAGCAUCUUGAAUUAGAAUCACUGGUGGUGCCAUUGCUGCCCUUUUCUUAGCUUUUCGAAUUCCUCUUUCUAAACCCGCUAUUUCUUAAUUGUUGAGAUCAACUAACUCUUUGUUCUGCUGGCUUCUGGUAUUAGCCAUAAACCUGAAACACCAAAAAGAAAAGAGAAAAGAAAAACGUAAGUAACAGAAUAAAAUUAAAAACUUAGACUAAACUUUUAACCUAAAUCUAAUGGCAAUCAGAAUUAAGUCCCCGGCAGCGGCGCCAAAAUUUGAUCGGCUCAAAUUUGCCCUGAGCUACUCUCUCAAUUAAGAGAUCACUGUAGUGCUUAGGUAUCGAAUCCACAGAGACUCAACGAUUACACAAUAAAUAUUCGGUAUUAAAUUAAGCUAAACAAGCAAGGUUUUAUAUUAAAAACAGCAAAUUAAAAUAAAGAUUAAGUUUUAAAACAAUAUGAGAAAACGCUAGGCUCGGGGAUUCUCAGUAAUCAAUCAAAUUAAAUAAAUUAAUAAAUUAGGAUUCAGAUUAAGCGUCGUUCUUGAACUCAAAUCACUCAUGUAAAAUCUACCAGCUUUCGCUGCGAUGAUUAUCUAAAUUUAAAACUAAAACUCCAUAUUUCUUUGCUAAAUUGUAAAAUUUUAAACCAGCACUAACAUUCAAGUUUGAUAUGCUCACAAAAUCCUUAAACCAAAUCUCUUUGCGAAUAAGUAUUUUGCUCACCCUAGGUUCUUUCAAGUAAUUAAUCACACUCUCAUGUCAAAUUAAUUGACCUAAGAUCUAGACUUUAGGUGAUCAAUCUNNNNNNNNNNNNNNNNNNNNNNNNNNNNNNNNNNNNNNNNNNNNNNNNNNNNNNNNNNNNNNNNNNNNNNNNNNNNNNNNNNNNNNNNNNNNNNNNNNNNNNNNNNNNNNNNNNNNNNNNNNNNNNNNNNNNNNNNNNNNNNNNNNNNNNNNNNNNNNNNNNNNNNNNNNNNNNNNNNNNNNNNNNNNNNNNNNNNNNNNNNNNNNNNNNNNNNNNUACAGGGAGUUCUGAUCUCUCUCUCUCCAGAAGCUCUCAAGGUUUUGCAAUAGAAUUCAGCCCCUUGUUUCUAAAACCUAAAAAGUACUUAAAUAUGUCCAAAACACGUCAGGGACCAAUGUUGCAACUUGGGAAAACUCUGAGCAACUUUUGUAAAUCUUCAAAAUUUGGAAAAACUCGAAAUCUCUCGUCAGGCACAUGGUGUCGAUCGACACUGGUAGGUGGUGUCGAUCGACACUCCUUCACAGAACGUCUCCAAGACAGGUUACUCGGCUCCUUUGCUCCAAUAAGCUCCAAAUCACUCCAUUUGAUCCAAUCAUUGUGAAAUAACUCCUACACCUGAAAAGACUCCAAAAGACCUUAAAAAGUAUAGAAAGACUCGAUAAAAAGCACUUAUAUCAUGGUUAAAAGCCGUAAAAACCAUGAUAUAUCAACUCCCCCAGACUUAGCCUUUGCUUGCCCUCAAGCAAGACAGAAACUCGACCUGCAGGAAACUCUUAUUUGCACUCUUCAUCAUCUUGACUCCAGAGCUUACUUUAUGUACUUUGCUUAUGAGAAGCAUCAACAUUCCUUACUCUAAUCCCACAAUCCUUAGGAAUCUCCAGUCUCUCAAUUGUCAUCUCUUUACAUAGGUUAACACAAGUAAAGGUGAAUUCUUACCGAGGGAAUAUCGAUCAAUGGCAUAUGGACUCUUCUCAAACCAAGACAUUCUUCAUUUGAUUUCACUUCUUCUCCCUUUUCUCACAUCUAAGGUAAUCGACAUCUCCCUACUUUUCUAGGGUAUCAUUUUAUUUUUUCAACGAUUCCCUUUUUUCUGUUUUUUUUAUAACACUUUCUUUUUUUUUCUUAUUCGGGUAUCCAUGAGAUCCGAAGUAUGCACGGGUUUACGCGACAUCCCUCAUAUCACUUCUACCUAUAGCCUUUUUCACAGUUUCUUUUAAAGGCUGAAGGGAAGAGAGAAGGAAGGAAUCAUACUUUGAAGAAGUGCAGUGUCUUGUGCGGCUCGAAGAAGAAGUCUAGUCCAAUGUAUUCCAACUCUUAAGGUAAGAGACUAAGUCCAAUUAAGUC